GCUAAGGAAUAGAGACAAAGGGGCACAAGGUCAUUUUUAUGAACAGUGCACACACUGACAGUUGGGAUUUUCGGCAUAUUAUACGGGCCCACACAGUUUUGGGGUCUUCUUUUUCUCCAAGAAAUAGUUCCAUUGGAGAGGCCGACACAGAGAAAAAAAAACCCUAGGACACAAGACUAAAGACCCAUGGCUGCCAUCUUCAACCUAGAGACAACAACGAAACCCUAGUCCCCACAACCACUAGCAGCGCCGUCCACCACGUCCAAGCUAUAGCAGACCUUCAGCUUCAUCUUCCUCACACAUUACACAAAAAGCACAAACCCUAGAUGAACCUUUCUUUUUCAAGAAGACAAGAGCUGAACUCAAAUCGUCACUCCUCACAGACCCAUGGCUGCCUUCCUCGUCUUCCUUAGCUGAACGACCAAACGACCCCUGACCUCUCUAACACCACCAACAUCUCCGUUGUCCCUCACCCUCCAGCCCACGACCAUAACUCCAGCUCCACACCCAUCGUCUCCACCACGAACAGCAGCUGAACCCAAAUCUCGCCGGACCUUCUGCUACUCAGGACCAAACGGAAUGACCCCAGCUCCCUUCAAAAACGAGCAACCAUUUCAUCUUCUACUACAAACAAGGAGGCAGCCAUGGAGAUAGCAGCUGAACCCUUCAGCCGUUUUUGAACAAAACCAAAAUUCCUAAGCCAAUCUUCUACUUCACCUCGCACUCGCCGGAAAAACCAGCGGCCGCGGCUGCUUACUGACCUCACUCCAAAUGCCCAACAACAGAAACCAUCGAGCCAGAUCCCCCUCAUCUCCUUUACCCUACAUCGCUAAACACACUGAAGGUCGACUGUAUCUAAAAGAAAAAUACAGAAACAUAGAUAGGAGAGAUCAGCUAAGGAUCUCGUUCGAAAAUGGAGUAAUGCUGAGGUAGGAGUUCGAAAUUUGGGAGUCGUCGUUCGUGUUCCAGUCGCGGUUCGGUUUGAAUUUGAUUGCUGUCUGGUCGAGUUUUCUGUUCAUUUGUCAUGAUCUAAACGUCUUCCAUUUUUUCCGUUCAAGUUCGAGUCGCCGGAAUUUGACAUUGCUGUGAACAAAUUGGAGGUUCAUCUUAAUAUUGGAAAAGUUCUUGUUUAUUGAAGGUAUGGACCCGCUGAUUCGAUCCAAAAUAUUGAUGGUAGUAAAGAUUCCUAGGAAGUUGAUCAAGUGGUGGAAAAUGUUUUCAUCGUUAGAGCAGCAUGAGUUAAUGUAGAAAUUGGGCACCCUAACUUCCCUUCUUGAUAUCACACCCCGCCCAGACUUAGUGGAGGCGAUGCUGACUUAUUGGGAUCCGCAAAAUUUGAUUUUCAGAUUUGGAGAGUGUGAGAUGACUCUUACCUUGGCGGAAAUGUCUGGUCUCACUCGUUUAAGCUAUAUAGGCAAGGACAUGAAACUUCCCCGAGACCACUCUAGGACAAGAUUCCUCAGCGACCUCGGCCUGAAAGAUAAUAAGCAUUUAAAAUGUCUCAAGCUGUCCUUGAUAUCCUUGGUUUAUUUGUUUGCUAGAUUUGGACCAUAGGAUAGUUUUGACGUCUUUUGGGAUGAGUUCUGCACAACCAAGGCAAAGUGGCAAAGACGUUACCUCGAAGCUUUCAGCCUUGCUUUGUUGGGAUUAUUGUUUUUUCCAUUAGAUGAGAGGUACAUUAACACCCGUCUGCAGUCAGUGGUAAUGGCACUAUUUCAUGAGAAGCAACGCAAAAUCGUUACCGUUGUGUCGAUGAUCUUAGCAGAGUUGUACCGAGCCCUGAGUGAGGUUAGGGAGGUGUCAGAUAUUUUGAGGGAAGUAACCUUUUGCUAUAAUUGUGGAUGAUGGAGCAUUUGCACACCGCUUCCUUACUUUGUCCCAUCGACCGUGCCUUGAGGGUUCGGGUGGUAUGCAUCGAACGUAGGAUGAAAUCUCCUAAGUUUACGUACCCAGUAGGCAUCACGGCUUGGAUUGGGUUCCUUGGUUUGAGGACAAAUGGGAAUGUUUUGUGGGCUUACAUUUGGCUACCUUUGGAUGAUAUCUUGGUAGGGUACCACAUGCAGCCUUUCCUGAUGCUGAUAGGUCUCAAGUGUGUUAGGCCGUACACUCUCAUUAGGGUAAUGCUGCAAUUGGGCAGAAGACAAGAAGAGCCUCCAACUUUGAAUCUUCGGAGGCACAUCAUAAAUUUUAGCUAAAAGGCGGCUGAUGAAAUCAAGUAUGUGCAAUACUGGAACAAUGCAAAGAGGAUGAAGAAAAAUACAUUAGUAGAGGACGUUGGCAGGCCCGAGUGUACUCAAGAGUACUUGAUUUGGUUACAGUCCAUCCCGCCAGGGAUCAGCAGCCCAUUGCCAGCACAACUUAGGGGUCGGGCAGUUCAGACAGAUGAUUUUGAGGAGGCAUCGGACCAAGAUCCCUGGGAUAAGCUUGAGUUGAUAAAGUCUCAAUUAGCGGGAUUGGCAGCAAACGUGGAGCAGCAUGGCUAGUAUUUGUUUAGGGUUAGCCUUCAGGAUGCGGAGGCACACGCCAGGGCCUUUAUUCCGAGCAUCGGUGUUUCUUUACGAGGCAUGUUACAGAGUUUGAGCAUGACGGACAACCCAGGAUCAUCCUAGCCAGGACCAUCGCAUUCAGGAGCAGUUUGAGGAGUCAUUCUAUUUAGGUGUUUUGAGAUUGUUGUAUGUUGUCUUUUACUUUCGUGUCUUGUCUAGAAGUACUGAGUCCUUUAGGUAGUGUCAAAGUCUAUCGUAGUGUAGUUGAGUCUGUCAGGUCUUUUAUUAUCGCACUUCCCAUUGUAUUUUAAUAUCGAAAAGUUUUUAAAUGAAAAAUCCCAAAAAGAUUUUGUUUUUAA